rnacentral:sRNA from 1 species
GUCACGGCCCCGCGGGGCAGCCAUGCCUGGCCGUCUGCUGCGGGGCCUGUGGCAGCGAUGGCGCCGUUACAAGUACCGCUUCGUUCCCUGGAUCGCACUGAACCUAAGCCACAACCCGAGGACCCUCCGAUAUGUUCCAGAGGAAUCCAAAGACAAAGUUACCUCAGAUGAAGAUGUCCUAGGAACAUUACUGAAAGUUUUCCAGGCUCUAUUCUUAAAUGAUUUCAAUAAACAAUCAGAAAUCUUGACUAUGCUUCCAGAAUCUGUUAAAUCAAAAUAUCAAGACCUACUGGCAGUUGAACAUCAAGGGGUGAAACUGCUUGAAAACAGACAUCAACAGCAAAGUACCUUUAAACCAGAAGAAAUUCUUUACAAGACUUUGGGUUUCAGUGUUGCCCAAGCAACUAGCUCAUUGAUUUCUGCUGGAAAAGGGGUCUUCGUUACUAAAGGACUGGUACAGUAUAUCAGAAGUAUGAGCCGAUCUUUUUCCAGUCCAUUGGAAAUCCAUUUAUUUUUAGAUGCCUGGAUGGGGUACUCAUUGAUGGGAAUGACAAAGGGAU